UAUAUAAAAUUGAGCCCCCAUAAAGUUCUCCUUUGUUUCCUUUAAUUUCUAAUGAGCUAAAGUUAUCUGGUUUCCUAAACAUGAGGCUGGAUGCUUUUGCAAAACCAUUUUGAGUCAAUAAUCUCAUUUUCUCUGCAUGCAAAAAUUUAAGAGAUAAGAGCAAGGAAGUUGGUGCAAAUAUUCAUAAUUUGAGUGUCCUGUAGUUUGUGGCCCCAAACUGCUCAGCACUGCACCUUCCCUUUCUCCCAGACAAUGGGUUUAGGAAAAGGCACAAUCGAAUUGCAAGUCACGUGAAGGAGACAGGAUUAUUCCUGCUAACCAACAGUAAUAAAAUAGGCCCAUUUUCAUAGAAGGGGCUCUGUUCUGACAGACCAGCUUUGUUGGUGAAUAUUUAAAAAAUAAACAUUUAUUUUUGCACUGGCCUGAAUCCCUAGUGCCAGAAGAAAAGAAGUACUUUCAGGGAAGGUUGGUUAAGGUUUGACAGCUCGCUGCCUCCCCCAACACCCUGGGAUUCGUUGGGAAACUUUGCCUUGGAGCGCCAUCUAGAGGAAGUUCCAGCUCACGUCGGGCAGUCUCUUAGUCAAAAAAUUCCUUCCUUCCUUCCUUCCUUCCUUCCUUCCUUCCUUCCUUCCUUCCUUCCUUCCUUCCUUCGUCUCUCCCACCCUCUCUCUCUCUCCCCCUUUGUUUCUUUUCCUUCCUUUCUUUUCCUCCCUUCCCACCCUCCCUUUCCCUCCCUUUCUUCCCAUCCUUUCUUCCUUCUUCUCUUUUUCUGUCCCUCCCUCCCACUACCUCCCUUCCUUCCUGUUGGUUGGCGGCAAGAUGAUCAAAAGUUCGACCCAAUGUGACCACAGAACUGAGGAAGGGGAACUACACUCAUGAAAUCUCAACAAUACAGCUGCCAACGAAGAUCUGUAUAAUAAGAGCACCAGUUGACAUGCCGGUGUGGAGGAGGGAAAUGCCACAAGGCCCCACUUCCGGGUGAAGAGCUACAGGCAAUCAGUGGCUUCCGAGAGAGGAAGACAGUCUUCUCCGGGAUCAGCUCCCUGGUAUGCUGUCCAACCCCCAAUGGUCAGCUGUAAACAUAUGCCCAUGCUAACAACAUCAGACAGACUCAGAAAGCUGCGUAUAUAAUCACAAAUUAUAUAAGUACAAUCAUGCAAUUAAAGAAGAUGAGGCCACGAAUUUGAGAGGGAGUGGGGGGCGAGGGAAGGGGGAUGGACAAAGAGGGGUGGAAAGUAUUAAAUACAGUAUUCAUAUAUAAAACCCUCAAAAACAUUAAUGCCAAGUCAGGAGGGAGAGUAUAUUUGGUAGGAGUUAGAAGUGAAUAUAAUCAAAAUACAUUGUAUGUAUUCUGGAAAUUAUCAAAAAUAAUCAAACCAUUAUGUUUUAAAAGAAGUUCAAGGGCACUUUCAUCUACCUAGCCAGUUUAAGGCCAUUGAAGGGCAACCUGGACUAUAUGAGACUGUCUGCAAAAAAAGAAAAAAGAAGACAAGAAAAAAAUUCAGAUUGAUAGAAAAGUUUUGUUUGAGUUCUAACUUGUUAGACAGAAUUAGAAUAUGAGGUUCCUAGAAUGGAGACAGAGUCUCAAACUAGUGAAAGACUUCAGUGGUCUUCAGAGGUGCAUGCAGCUCUGGUGCCCACACAUGGACAGAACGUGGGUGUCCUUGCCGUAGGCUGGGAUCCUAUGUUAGAAACUAGAUUCGAUGGGCAAAUCAAGUGAAUGUUGUCUACGUAGAUAAGGCAGUCUUAGCUGUUUUCAGAAUUUUUGUCUUGAUUAAAAAAAAAAAAUCUGCCUAAGUAGAUUUUCCAAGAUCGAGCUGGAGAAGAUGCUUGUGUCAGAGUUAAGCAAGUUGGCACUCCAGCCCACUACGACCUUUCAGUAAGUUCGUUGAAAUGUAACGAGCAGAAAGUAACUACUCUUCCAGAUGCAGCUGCGUAGUUCCAUGUGCUGGAGUCUGAAAUAAUAUCCGCUGACAUCGUCUUUCCAAGACUCCUUCCUGCAGUUUGCAAUCUCCCGCACGUCUCCCCCAGAGAGCAACAGUGAACUCUUCUAUUUCUGCAGCGGCAUGAAUACAAGAACAAAGCCCGGACUUUUUCUAACAGGGAUGCUCUCCAAGUUGCUGAGCAAACACAAAAGUAAUGGCACCCUUAAAAUACUCCGGCACGAUGAUGCCCCCAAUUAUGAGGGGGCGUAGCUGGCAUGUUCAACUUUCCUCCGCUUCUUAAGAAGUAUUAAGACUUGGUACCACAAACAGCCCACUGAUGACAACUCAGCAUAUUAUCCUUUUAUACCUGUGGGUGCACAAUGACCCCAUCGCUGCUGCCAGAUGCUGGCUUCCAGAGAGGCUUGUUAUGGAAGACCUCCGCCACCCCUGACUUCUGUAACGCGCAGCGUCACGGCCAUUUCUAUUUCCUUUCUCUGAGCGAUAUUUCUGCUUGCUAAUUUUGACAAUUCGACAAAUCCUCAGGUUUUUCUGAGACAACUAGUUAAUAAGCCACUGUCUUUGGUGAGCCACGCUCACAGGCUCGAUGCAUAGAAACAGUUUCUUGUCUGCCGAGCUCUUCUAAAGUUAAGCAAGGUGAAGGUGUUUUGGUUUCCAAGCACUUGAUCAAGUAAGUCUCGAGAGUCAGGGCAUUUUUCCAUCCAUAAGUAACUGCUCAGCUCUGAUGGCAUACACAGUAGAAGGCAGGACCAGUCUGGCUCUCCAGGUCAGUUGAUGGACCCCCACACAUUCCAAGGGAGAAGUGAGUCCCUUUUCCUCUCACCUUUGUACAUGCACCCGACUUGAAGCCAGUCCUCCAUUCACUGUUGAAAACUGACUGAGUGCAUGGCAGAGUACAGCUGUCCUAGGGUACAGGGACCGGGGACACAUAGGUGAAUGCUGUGGAAGGGAUUAGAAAUGGUCUCUUUCCUGAGGUGGCUCAGCAGGAAAUGAUAGAUUAGGAAUUUAAGACACACAGUAGCAACACAGCUGUCCUGUGCCGGGGCUCUGGGGGAGGAGGCAGUUACCGAUGUUUUGGGAGACAGGUGGAACUUUGUGGAAAACUGGCAUUAGAUCAGUACCUUAAAGGUUGGGUAGAAGUUUAAUGGGCAGAGCACAGGGUGAAGAUUUUCAUGAAGGGGAAGAAUAAACUUUGUUCAUUUGGAUCAAAGGAAAAUGCAUUUCACCCAGGGUCCCAAUUUUGUCUAGGUUUUAAGAUGUGUACAAAGACAAGAGGCAUUUGUAUUUAUGUGGUAAGAAUCCGGAACCCACCAUGUAUUAUUCGCAUAGUAAACAUGUUUAUAUAAACUCA